rnacentral:ncRNA from 1 species
UUAUUACUGCCACCGGGUAGUAGGAUGCAAAGCAUUCGUUUACACAUCGACAGGUCUUAGAAGAUGUGUAUGCGGGUGCUUUAAUUUU